rnacentral:rRNA from 1 species
GACGAACGCUGGCGGCGUGCCUAACACAUGCAAGUCAGGGAGAAAGAGGUAGCAAUAUCUCGAGUAAACCGGCGAACGGGUGAGUAACACGUAGGUAACCUGCCCUCGAGUUGGGAAUAACUUCGAGAAAUCGAGGCUAAUACCGGAUAAUGCAACGAACUCGCAUGGGUUUGUUGUUAAAGUUCCGCGCAAGCGGAACGCUUGAGGAUGGACCUGCGGCCGAUUAGCUAGUUGGCGGAGUAACAGCCCACCAAGGCGACGAUCGGUAGCCGACCUGAGAGGGUGACCGGCCACACUGGGACUGAGAUACGGCCCAGGACUCCUACGGGAGGCAGCAGUGAGGAAUAUUGGGUCAAUGGCCGAAAGGCUGAACCAGCGACGCCGCGUGAGUGAAGAAGGCCU